CCCACCUCCCCAGGUUACCGGCGCUCUAGGGUCGCGCUUCGCCCUCGGAGUCGCCCGGGAUAAUGACAGCUAGUGAGUGCGUGCACUGCCUUCUCACUGCCAAGCCUGGCCUUAAAUGCCCUCUCAACUUUUAAAAGUUGUUUCUUCAAAGUGCAUUCACGGCCUAACCCUCCUUUGAGUGCCAGUUCGGUGGCAGACCUUAGAGUAAAUCCAGGAGACCCAGAAUAAGGGAAACUGGGUCCCCCUCAGUCUGGAGUGAAAGAAGUGCUUUCAUAGAAAGGCCCUGCAAAGGAGCCAUUUAUUCUUCCUGUGGGAAGGCUAGGAGGGAUUGGGGAAGCCCCAUGGAGGAGGGGCCUUCAUGCUCGGCCGGCCCGAAAAGGGAGUAGGAGUUCUCCAGCCACAGGGCUGGUAGCCUGGACUGCAAGGCAGACAGGGCUGAAGCCCCUGGAAAAACCUGAGCUGGGCUCCAGUUUUGCAGUCAAAACUGUGGAAGCAUGCACACUUACACACACACACGCACACACACCCUCCCUGGUUCUUUGUACAAUGAGGCUACUACCUGUUAGACUACUUAUUUCAUCUUUUCUGAACGUUUGCCUAUCAAACUGGUGACUGGCUGGCCAGGCCACUACCUCUGACAUCUGCAAGGCACCCACCUCUUCUUGGCUUCUGUCUACUUCUGAGGUCUGUAGUGAUCCCACUUGUGCCUGAGUCUCCUUUUCUUUCCUAAACAUAACCUUUUGUAAAAUUAACAAUGUUGGUGGAGCAAAGUGGUCCACACCUGGAAUCCUAGCAUUCAGGAGGCUGAAACAGCAGGAUCGGGAGUUUGAGGCCAGCCUGGACAGUUUAGCAGGAUCCUGAUUCAAAAAAAAAAAGGUCGAGCACCAUGGCAGGGGUUCACAGUGGACCAAAGCUGCUUCCCUCAUGCCAGCCAGCAAGCAAAAGGAGUGGAAGCCACCAACAACCCAGUCGUUCCUCCCAGGACCUGCUGAUAUGACCUGAUUUCCUCCAACUAGUGGCGCCAUUAGCUGGGAACCAAACCUUCAAUACGUAUUGGGUAUUGUGUCUCAACAACAAGAAAGUGACCAAGACAGUGAUGUCUGUUAACUGAGUAGGGUACCUCAAACUUUUUAAAUGGCACCUGGUAAAAACAAAAGCCACAAGACCUGCAGAGACUGCAAAAGUCACGCACCAUCACAUGUCCCGUUCUAUUGCUCAAAGCAAGUCAGAAGAGCAGCCCUAAUCCAAAAAGUAAGGUCAUAGACUUCUCCUCUUGGUAGGAGCUGUGUACUGUGUAUACCAUAAUGAGAAACUCCAGGAGCAGCCAUCUUUGUCAACAAUUCACCGCACAUGCUGGGCUUUCCUACUCCAGGAUUAUAGGCUGCCCUUGAGAAGCCCCUUCCAUUCCCAUCUGCAGAACGCUUUCCACAGGUUUUCCAUUAGAAGCACCACAUAGGACCCUUCUCCAUCCAAGUUACAGAAAGUGAUGGUAAUCUCCUGUGAAAAGCCCAGGUGGCUAAUAACAGCCAUUGCAUCCCAAGCCUGCCAAACGAGGUCUUCCCUCAGUGGUAGCUGGAGUUGUGCUACAAACACACUCCUGCUUCAUCUGCCCCAGUGAUGGGCGAGGCAGGGACAUGCUGAGCCUGUCAGCAGGAACCAGCUCUCCACAGUCGCUGCCCAUGGGAUCUCGUGGCCAAUUGCUCCCUAGAACUGAAAACAGAAAUGGAAUAGGCCCAAUAAAAACCUCAGAAAAGCUACACUUGGAAAGGAUGUGAUAAAGGCACAUUCUUUCAGUUUAAUGAUCUGAAUGACAUUACAUACCAAGAGUAAUGUCAUGCUCUGGACAUACAACAAUGAAUAAUGUGUCAUGCCUGCUGGCCUAGAAUUCAUAGUCUGGUAGAUAAUAAAUUUGGUAAAGG
ensembl:lncRNA